rnacentral:lncRNA from 1 species
GCAUGCUCCGCUCUUUAGCGCUUCCUGAGCAAAGUUUGAACGCCUCUCGAGUCCAGUUGGCUUAUGCGCAUGCGUUUCUCUGGUGCAGGUUCUCACCAAAUCCAGAAGCGGCGGGCAUUUGAAAUGAUGUAAGCCGGGAGUCGCUCUGCCUGCCCGUUUCUGCGCUGCACUGGCCGACACUUAAGCACUGGAAGAGAGGCCUGGCAGGAGGCGGCGCAGUGGACACGCGGUCCGAGGACGGGGGCCUCACCCGCCGCCCCACGCUUGCCUCUUCCUGGGAUGCCGCAGGCGGGGCCCUAACUCACAGCCUCCUCACCCGGGCUCGUGUCUGCGCCCGCGACUUCGACUGGGAGGAGCUUCUGGCGCCACCUGCGCCACGGUGCGCCGGGCCGCCGGCGACCGGGUCGCUGCGCUCGGCGACUGCCGCGCUCCUCGGGGAACGUGAGGAAUCUGGUGAUUUAGAAGAGAAGAUUGAACAACCAAGAUGAAAACCCCUGCUUCCUUUACCUGAGGUGUGGCCCUGAUGGAGUAAACGCGAAAUUAUUUUCUACAAAAAUUACUUAAUAUUGGCAUCCUCCACUCAUGCCUGUAAAAUAAAGUAAAGACGGGGUUUCACCAUGUUGGCCAGGCUGGUCUCAAACUCCAGACUUCAAGUGAUCCACCCGCAUUGGCCUCCCAAAGUGCUAAGAUUACAGCAUGAGCCACCACACCCUGUCUGAGUGCUACUUUAAAUUUAAUUGUAUUCCUAUUGAAGAGCAGCUUCAGUUGGUGUUGGGCAAUGCUGGAUACAAGCAAAUGACUGGACUACAAUGCUCAUCUGCCUUAGGAGCCUUAGACAAGUCAUCCUCCACACCUUUCCCUUUUAGAACUGGAUUGACAUCUGGAAACGUGACUGAAAACUUACAAGCGUACAUUGAUAAAAGCACACAGGCAUCUAGUGGAGAGAAUUCUACAAAGCUUGAUGAGUGUAAAAUUGUGCCACAAAACCAUUCCCUUCUUGAAAAUGAUCUUAAAAAUGCAACAUCCCCUUUCUUACCAAAGAAAGCAAAUGACAACUCAAAUAUACCUAACUCUGAGUUGCUGCCUUUUCUCCAGAAUUUAUGUAGUCAAGUUAACUAUCUCCUUGUGGGACGUAAGGCCGAGUGACAGGAAAACACCACCAAGCCUGAUGAAGGCAUUCUUGGUGUUGGAAUGGAAGAGCAGCCUGUUUGCUCCUACUUGGAAUAGAUUCUUUCUAAAAAUAUGGAACUGAUAGAAAAGAAACUUAUAGACUACAUUGAUCAGCGAAUAUAUAAACUCCAGGAGCACAUUGAUGAUAAGAUUGCUUUGUUGAUUGAUUUGCUGCAAAAUCCCAACUCCCCGCCCAGUAGGCUGCCUCUAAGACAUUAUGACUCUGGAGAAGGACUUUCAAAUGGAGAAAGAUGAGCUCUCAACAUAAACAGUGUACUGCAGAUAUUUGUUACAUAUUUAUUACAAAGCCAAAACCCAAAAAUAUUUAUAAAAAGCAAGGAUUUAAUGUCCUUUUAAGGAUCAUCAUCUUACUUACUGAAGUGACCUCAGUGUUCAUUAUUACUACACUUGUACUGUAUACUAAGACUUAACAUGAUACAGUAUUUUAUUUUUGCUAGUAAUAUUUUUCACUCAUAAGUGUAUAUGUACUUCUGUGUUAUAUGUUCUAAAUGUUUAAGGAGUUCUAAUAUAAUUCAUUAGUUGAUAUAGUAUAUGUUUGAUUGAAGUACUGUUUUAAUUUAUAUGAAGACCUUAUUUUAUAGUUUCAGGGAUAUAAAAGGAAUGCUUAGAGUAUUUGAUUUUUUUUUCCUAAUUGACUCUUAGAAAACUGGGUACUUAACCUGGAACCUUUAUUUUAGAUCACCAACUUGAAUUUUAUAUUGUUUAUUUCAGAUAAAAAAUUAGAUGUGAUGUUUGGCAUGUGUAAAAUCAGUUCACAUUGGGGCCAUUAAUUGUACAUUCUGUCACAUUGUAACAGUAGAUAAGAAAGUGAUUAUCAGAACUGGUCUAUUCCUUGUUAGGAUUGUUACUUUGGAUUUAGUGUAUGAUGUAAAAUGGGAGAACUGAUCUCAUUUUAUCUCAAUAAACCCAGAAAGUGUAAGG